UCGGCGUGUGCGCAUAUCUUUUCUGUGUCAGAUAUGACUAUUUUUCUUAUCUUCACUGGUCAAUAAAAGUUUGUCUUAGAAGUCAAUAAUGUAUGUGGGAAAUUGUCUCCUCUUUGCAGGCCAUCCAUCCAAGAUCAUCUAUCUGAGCUGCUGAAAACUGCCUCGGUACGGAUCUGUUGCAGCUUUGUGUCACUGACUGUAUUUCUGCAAAUGCCUGUUCCGUGUCACAUGGCUUAUGCAAGACUGAAUCCAUGAAGAUGCUGUAACCAUAAAGCAACCAGGACAACACACCUGGAGUGACCGAGAGCAGGAUGAAGAAAGAAUCGGACGAGAAAAUAUCAACUGUUGCCCAUGAGGAGACAUAUUGUUCUUGGACCUGGUUUUUCUGUUUAGUAAUAAGUGGUUUUUUGUGGUUAAAUAAAAGUAAUUUAAUAUUCAAUCCACAAGCUAAAUUUCCUACAUUUUCUUAAAGGGGUAGUUUACCCAAAAAGAAAAAUUCUGUCAUUGUUUACACAAACAGUUUGGUUACAAACAUUUCUCACAAUAUCUGCCUUCGUGUUUAUCAGAACAAAGAAAUUUAUGCGGGUUUGUAACAACAUGAGAGUGUGUAAAUGAUGACAGAAUUUUCAUUUUUGGGUGAAGUACCCCUUUAACAUUUUUAUACCCAGGGGUAAAAGAAAUGUAUGUUAAACAUUUUUAGUUUGUCUUUUUUUGUUACUGCUACUUUCAACAAGACUAAUUAUUCAGCCAAGCUUAUUUUGUACUUUAAGGAAUGAACAGCUUUUAUGGGUUUUAAGACACAGAUAUGUGCUCACAGUUUGCCCAUAGAAUGCCCAGUGGUCCCACAAUUUUCCCGCAGUAUGCCCACAUUUUUCCCACGUAUUUGUAUAUAGUAAUUUGAAUUUUAAAACAAUUCCAUGCAUGUAUGCCUAUCUCAGAUCAUAUGCAUUUGAAAGGCAGUUUCUGGUAUAAAUAGCAGAACACAAAAGGUUUUCUGUGUCAUUAGAAAUGCAGUUAAAAAGUGGGACAACAAGGAUAACUGAUCAUGAAGGUAAUGCCAGGUGAGGGAUAUAUUAUGGC